CAUUAGGCCUCCCUAGAGGCCACCAACCUCUCAAUUAGGGUGAUC
rfam:Punica granatum cultivar Dabenzi scaffold5, whole genome shotgun sequence.